CUCUGCAGAUAGGGUGCAAAAUCAGGCACCGUGGUCUUUAUAAAACAGUGAGCAAUGCCAGUUUGCAAGUGUUUCAUAGGAAAAGCGUAACACAAUGGAAAGCGCUAACCAAAACAUCCUCCCUCAUGAAAUGAAAUUUCAUCAGACCAGUAUGUGUCUGUGCCUCCGCUGCAAACACUGCUUUGAAGUGCUCUGACCCUGAGCAGCACCUGUAAACACGGAUGGCAAACUGCACCCAUCAUCACACAUGAAGGCAAUAACCCCACUGACACAAACGGGUAGUAAAGGCUGGAUACACCAGUCUGUCCUCGGCUCCAAAUCCAACGCAGAGCUGCGAGAGCAGAGACACACAAGCAACAAGCGCCAGUAGUCAACUUCUGCAGGAAGAGUAUGUGCCUUCGCCUCACAGCUGUUUUCCAGCCCAGCCCAAACUUCCACUGCCUGGGAAGCGGGACUGUGGUAGCAGCAUCCAGCAGCUGCCCCCAUCAGUGAGAACGGCCAAGAUACGGAUCGGGACACCCUGCCCGCUGAUCUCUCCCGCCAUCGCGGGACCACCACCCUGCUGGAAAAUAAAAAGGAAGAGGACGACGCAAAGAUGCGCCCUCGGAAGAGCUGCGAGGUCCGUGGGGGACGUGGAAGGAUGAAUGGACAGAUAAGGGGAUGGAUGGCGAGGUAUGCAGGUUACAGUGACCCAGACUGAUGAAAUCACAGCAUGUUAUCAUACUCCAUCAUGCAGUGGCCUGAAGAGGAAAUCAGAAACUCAUGAAACUCUAUUAAACUCUCCGCCUCUGUUUUCUCAGCUAUACAAUAAACUUAUUAAGCCUACUACUUAUAUAAGAGCUUGAUGCUGUUCAAAUGCAUAUUAGCUUCUCUCCUCCUAACCCAGCUUCUGCACCUGAGUCAGAAAGAGCGGCCUUUGGAAAAAAAACCCUGGAAAAAGUUCCUUUUUCCCCAUGAAAUGACAGGAGACAAUAUUGUGUAGCAAUGAGACUUAAGUACUACUACG
rnacentral:lncRNA from 1 species